AACGAACGCUGGCGGCAGGCUUAACACAUGCAAGUCGAACGCACCUUUCGGGGUGAGUGGCAGACGGGUGAGUAACGCGUGGGAAUCUACCCUUCUCUACGGGAUAGCUCCGGGAAACUGGAAUUAAUACCGUAUACGUCCUGAGGGAGAAAGAUUUAUCGGGGAAGGAUGAGCCCGCGUUGGAUUAGCUAGUUGGUGGCGUAAAGGCCUACCAAGGCGACGAUCCAUAGCUGGUCUAAGAGGAUGAUCAGCCACAUUGGGACUGAGACACGGCCCAAACUACUACGGGAGGCAGCAGUGGGGAAUAUUGGACAAUGGGCGCAAGCAUGAUCCAGCCAGGCCGCGUGAGUGAUGAAGGCCCUAGGGUUGUAAAGCUCUUUCAGUGGGGACGAUAAUGACGGUACCCACAGAAGAAGCACCGGCUAACUUCGUG
rnacentral:rRNA from 1 species